rnacentral:rRNA from 1 species
CCUGAUUGAUUCUCCUCGUAGCAAUAUGCCUGUUGUAAAACCUUAACCCCUCCAUGUCUAAGUAUAAGCACUUAUCCCGUGAAACUGGGAAGGGCUGAUCCAAUCAGUUAUCGUUUAUUGAUAGUACCCUUACUACAAGAAUACCCCGUGGUAAUUCUAGAGUUAAUUCCAUGCUUAAAACUUCGACUUCGGAAGGGGGUGUAUUUAUAGAUAAAAAACCAAUGCCCUUUCGGGGGCUCCUUGGUGAUUCAUAAUAACUUGUGGAAUCGCAUGGCCUUGUGCUGGGGAUGGUUCAUUCAAAUUUCUGCCCUAUCAACUUUCGAUGGUAGGAUAGUGGCCUACCAUGGUGGCAACGGGUAACGGGGAAUUAGGGUUCGAUUCCGGAGAGGGAGCCUGAGAAACGGCUACCACAUCCAAGGAAGGCAGCAGGCGCGCAAAUUACCCAAUCCCAACACGGGGAGGUAGUGACAAUAAAUACUAAUACAGGGCUCUUUCGGGUCUUGUAAUUGGAAUGAGUACAAUUUAAAUCCCUUAACGAGGAACAAUUGGAGGGCAAGUCUGGUGCCAGCAGCCGCGGUAAUUCCAGCUCCAAUAGCGUAUAUUAAAGUUGUUGCAGUUAAAAAGCUCGUAGUUGAACCUUGGGUCUGGCUGGCCGGUCCGCUUCACGGCGUGCACUGGUCCGGCUGGACCUUUCCUUCUGGGGAGCCCUAUGGCCUUCACUGGCUGUAGGGGGAACCAGGACUUUUACUGUGAAAAAAUUAGAGUGUUCAAAGCAGGCCUUUGCUCGGAUACAUUAGCAUGGAAUAAUAGAAUAGGACGUGUGGUUCUAUUUUGUUGGUUUCUAGGACCGCCGUAAUGAUUAAUAGGGAUAGUCGGGGGCGUCAGUAUUCGGCUGUCAGAGGUGAAAUUCUUGGAUUUGCUGAAGACUAACUACUGCGAAAGCAUUCGCCAAGGAUGUUUUCAUUAAUCAGUGAACGAAAGUUAGGGUUAGUUUGUUAGGGUUAGUUUAGUAGGGUUAGUUAGUUUGUAGGUUAGUUAGGGUUAGUUAGGUUAGUAGGGUUAGGGUUAGGGUUAGGGUUAGGGUUAGGUUUAGGUUAGGGUUAGGGUUAGGUUAAGGGUUA